rnacentral:rRNA from 1 species
CACACCCGUUCCCAUCCCGAACACGGUAGUUAAGCUUCUCUGCGCCAAUGGUAGUUGGGGGCUUCCCCCUGCGAGAGUAGGUCGCUGCCGGGC